CUACGGGUGGCAGCAGUGGGGAAUCUUAGACAAUGGGCGCAAGCCUGAUCUAGCCAUGCCGCGUGAGUGACGAAGGCCUUAGGGUCGUAAAGCUCUUUCGCUGGGGAAGAUAAUGACGGUACCCAGUAAAGAAACCCCGGCUAACUCCGUGCCAGCAGCCGCGGUAAUACGGAGGGGGUUAGCGUUGUUCGGAAUUACUGGGCGUAAAGCGCGCGUAGGCGGAUCAGAAAGUUGGGGGUGAAAUCCCGGGGCUCAACCCCGGAACUGCCUUCAAAACUCCUGGUCUUGAGUUCGAGAGAGGUGAGUGGAAUUCCGAGUGUAGAGGUGAAAUUCGUAGAUAUUCGGAGGAAUACCAGUGGCGAAGGCGGCUCACUGGCUCGAUACUGACGCUGAGGUGCGAAAGCGUGGGGAGCAAACAGGAUUAGAUACCCGGGUAGUC
rnacentral:rRNA from 1 species